UUUAUUGAAACUUCGGUCGAUUUAAUUUGAUUCUAGUGGCGGACGGGUGAGUAACGCGUGGGUAACCUGCCUUAUACAGGGGGAUAACAGUCAGAAAUGGCUGCUAAUACCGCAUAAGCGCACAGAGCUGCAUGGCUCAGUGUGAAAAACUCCGGUGGUAUAAGAUGGACCCGCGUUGGAUUAGCUAGUUGGUGGGGUAACGGCCCACCAAGGCGACGAUCCAUAGCCGGCCUGAGAGGGUGAACGGCCACAUUGGGACUGAGACACGGCCCAGACUCCUACGGGAGGCAGCAGUGGGGAAUAUUGCACAAUGGGGGAAACCCUGAUGCAGCGACGCCGCGUGAAGGAAGAAGUAUCUCGGUAUGUAAACUUCUAUCAGCAGGGAAGAUAGUGACGGUACCUGACUAAGAAGCCCCGGCUAACUACGUGCCAGCAGCCGCGGUAAUACGUAGGGGGCAAGCGUUAUCCGGAUUUACUGGGUGUAAAGGGAGCGUAGACGGUGUGGCAAGUCUGAUGUGAAAGGCAUGGGCUCAACCUGUGGACUGCAUUGGAAACUGUCAUACUUGAGUGCCGGAGGGGUAAGCGGAAUUCCUAGUGUAGCGGUGAAAUGCGUAGAUAUUAGGAGGAACACCAGUGGCGAAGGCGGCUUACUGGACGGUAACUGACGUUG
rnacentral:rRNA from 1 species